rnacentral:rRNA from 1 species
CGCUAGCUACAGGCUUAACACAUGCAAGUCGAGGGGCAGCAUUUUAGUUUGCUUGCAAACUGAAGAUGGCGACCGGCGCACGGGUGAGUAACACGUAUCCAACCUGCCGAUAACUCCGGAAUAGCCUUUCGAAAGAAAGAUUAAUACCGGAUAGUAUACGAAUAUCGCAUGAUAUUUUUAUUAAAGAAUUUCGGUUAUCGAUGGGGAUGCGUUCCAUUAGUUUGUUGGCGGGGUAACGGCCCACCAAGACUACGAUGGAUAGGGGUUCUGAGAGGAAGGUCCCCCACAUUGGAACUGAGACACGGUCCAAACUCCUACGGGAGGCAGCAGUGAGGAAUAUUGGUCAAUGGGCGAGAGCCUGAACCAGCCAAGUAGCGUGAAGGAUGAAGGCUCUAUGGGUCGUAAACUUCUUUUAUAUGGGAAUAAAGUUUUCCACGUGUGGAAUUUUGUAUGUACCAUAUGAAUAAGGAUCGGCUAACUCCGUGCCAGCAGCCGCGGUAAUACGGAGGAUCCGAGCGUUAUCCGGAUUUAUUGGGUUUAAAGGGAGCGUAGGUGGAUUGUUAAGUCAGUUGUGAAAGUUUGCGGCUCAACCGUAAAAUUGCAGUUGAAACUGGCAGUCUUGAGUACAGUAGAGGUGGGCGGAAUUCGUGGUGUAGCGGUGAAAUGCUUAGAUAUCACGAAGAACUCCGAUUGCGAAGGCAGCUCACUAGACUGUCACUGACACUGAUGCUCGAAAGUGUGGGUAUCAAACAGG